UACGUAGGGGGCUAGCGUUGUCCGGAUUUAUUGGGCGUAAAGAGCGUGUAGGCGGCCAGGUAGGUCUGCUGUGAAAACUCGAGGCUCAACCUCGAGAUGUCGGCGGAAACCGCUUGGCUAGAGUCCGGAAGAGGAGAGUGGAAUUCCCGGUGUAGCGGUGAAAUGCGCAGAUAUCGGGAAGAACACCUAUGGCGAAGGCAGCUCUCUGGGACGGUACUGACGCUGAGACGCGAAAGCGUGGGGAGCGAACAGG
rnacentral:rRNA from 1 species